rnacentral:rRNA from 1 species
CCCUCGUCCUAUCGUUUGCCCAGGUCCGGGUCAUGACCGGGGACUCAUGGGAGACUGCCGGGGUCAACUCGGAGGAAGGUGGGGAGUGACGUCAAAUCAUCAUGCCCCUUAUGUCCUUGGGCUUCACGCAUGCUACAAUGGCCGGUACAAAGGGCUGCGAUACCGCGAGGUGGAGCGAAUCCCAGAAAGCCGGUCUCAGUUCGGAUUGGGGUCUGCAACUCGACCCCAUGAAGUCGGAGUCGCUAGUAAUCGCAGAUCAGCAACGCUGCGGUGAAUACCGGUUCCCGGGCCUU